CUCGGGAAUGGGGUGGUUCUGCUCAUUGACGGGGGUUGGCCAGAAACAGAAAAUGACAGCCUCAAAGGAGCCUGGGAUUUGUCAGUUAUGUUUUGUCAGUAUUGUAGAGUUCAAACUCUUUCACAGUAUCUCUCCAUCUGAGGCGGCAGCGUGCUCUCUUACCAGCAUCAGGAGCUCAGGACCACAGGAUGGUGCGGGCUGAAUGCACUGCCGUCAAGACAGCUGUGCUAGUCACUGCAGGUGCCCUCACCUCCAGUAGCAUCCAUCCAGACACCAGCACUGACACUGGCCGUGCUCAGAACUGCCUCAGACCUGAAGACACAACUGACAAAUAGAAGGGGGCCACGCCCUGUUACAGCAGGUGCUCUCACUUUGUGGGUCCUUAUGUAACUGCACCAUGUUAAUCAGGAUCGCCCGUUCUACAUUGUGUAGCGCUGCUGCGGUGUCUCCUAGUUACUUGUUUCUUGUAAGAAUUCCGGUGACUGAGUUAGAAGCAUGUUUCCAAGCUGUCCGUGUCCUCGGCAUCCAGAAGCGGAGCCUGGAAGCUUCCGAAUUUCUCCAGAAUGCAGUCUACAUUCACCUUCGGCAGGGCCUGCAGCAUGAGCAUCCCUGACUACGUGCAGUGUGCUGAGGACCACCAGACUUUCCCCGUGGUGGUCGAACACGUGGGGAUCAUCUCAGAGGAGAAUUUCUUUUGCAUCUAUAAGUGAAUCACCUUGGUGAGUCAGAUCAGUCCGUGCAGCUCCCAGUGGGCAAACUGUAUCCACUACAGGCACCACUAUGCGCCCAAGAAUGUGUGGAGCGACUUCCAGACCCACCGCAAGGUCUUGGGCCUUGUCAUCAUUACUGAAUGCCUCUCGGCCAAGGCUUCGAAAAGCUCCACGUGCAGAGGAGCUGUAUGGCACCACGCUCUAUGACUCUCAGCUCUUUGACUUUCUGCUGCAUGGGGAGGUGGCCGAGCAGCCGCGCACCGAAGUGGCCUUCAAUUUACGAGGACUGCAGGGUGGUGGAGAAGAGGAUCGACGACUUCACUGAGUCACUCUUCAUCUUGCCCAAGUCCAAGUGGCUGGACGGUGCAUCCGACAAUUCUGGGGACAAGAUCCUCCUUCUCUGCAUCCCAUUUGAGAAGGAGGACAUCAUGGGACUGGACACAGAAAGCAGUACGUUUUGGUUACUGAGUCCCUCAAAUUCCCAUAUGAAUAGUAGCAGCAGCUAGUCAGUUACUGCAGAGGAGCCCGCUGGGAUUGUGAUCGAGACCACGUUGAGUAUACAGAUCGCUCUGGGGAGCACUGCCAUCCCAAGAGCGCUGUCAUCUGAUCCAGGAAUGUGCGUGGUGUGUCUGUCCAGGUGCCCUCACCUCCAGUGGCAUCCAUCCAGACACCAGCACUGACACUGGCCGUGCUCAGAACUGCCUCAGCCCUGAAGACACAACUGACAAAUAGAAGGGGGACACGCCCUGUGACAGCAGGUGCUCUCACUUUGUGGGUCCUUAUGUAACUGCGCAGUGUUAUUCAGGAUCGCCCGUUCUACACUGUGUGACGCUGCUGCCGUGUCUCCUAGUUAUUUCUGAGAGGAAAAGAAGUCUAAACUUACUUUCCAGUUGAAAAUGGAAUGGAGAGUUAACGUUGGAAGCCGGGAGAGUCUGUCCUGUGAUGAAGCGGCGUCCUAGCCACUUCCACUGGGACGUCACGUCACUGUCUGGGCCCCUUGCUCAGCCUGUGCACAGGUGACAGCGCAGAUGUGCCGAGCAGUCCUCCCGGACAGGGCAGUGGGUUGGAAAGGAGUUUGGGGAUUUGGUUUCAUUUCAUAGGUUUCUGAGGGCCUUGGCCUGGCACUUCGAGUGGGACCAUUCCCUGUCCCACAUACUCAUGCUCUGGGCCAGUGCAGGCCUGAUGUGGCCUCAGCCUGAGGCUCAGGGCCCGUGGUGAAGUGGAGAAUUUUAGUCCAGGGUCUGUGGAGGCUCUGACAAUUCUGGGUCGUGGGACAUUGUCCAGGAUGAUAAUAAUUCUUCCCCGAGUUUCAGAUUUCCUUGCCUGUGAGACGGGGUAGUAAUAGUUUCUGAGAUGAUUGUAAUGAUUCAGUAAGGGGCGCAGCGUGUGCUGGCAGGUAGCUGGUGCUUAAGGAGCAGAAGUCGCAGUCACUCUGUCAGCCUCUCACUGUGUGCUCUGUGCUUUGAGAAGAUGUGUAUUUGGUGAAAGUCCUGCCCAAAUACUAGGGUCUAGAUGAAACGUUGUUCCUUUACUUUCCCUUUCUUUUGCUCCUUCCUUUCUCUGCGUCUCAUGUGUAGGGAGCAGAUUCCUCUGUUUCAGGGAAUACAGGCCUUUCUAGGAAAAGGACAGGAUGAACGUGGAUAGGUGGGGCCGGAGGGGGUCUGGAGCAUCUGCACAGCGCUGCUUCCCUGCAUUUCUGCAUCCGGUCCCAUCAGUGCACGAACGUUCCUAGGAGAGAAUUCAGCAGUGCAGCAUCCUCUCCGAGCUCUAUGAGUUGAUCGGCUUCCACUGCAAGUCCGUCUUCUUCAAGUGGGUGGCCCCCGUGCAGAGCGUGGCCCCCGGCAUCCCGGAGCCUGGCGGGAAGGCCUGCUACCGACUCCUUCUGCAGACGCUUCCUGGCUACAGUCUGUCACUGAUUCUGCAGGACUUCAACAAAGGUUUUGGGACUAAAACAUUGCUUCAGUCCGAUUAACCAUGCCUUGUUUGGGCCCUGCUCUCCUGUCUCAACAGGGUGAAUUGUGAUUCGUGUAGAGCAGGACACAGCAGACUUUUUUCUGUCAAGGGCUUGGGAGUCAAUAUUUCAGGAUCUGCAAACCUCCUGAUCUCUGGUGCAGCUGCUCAGCUCUGCUGUUCAGACGCCAGAGCAGCCGGAGAGUCCACACACCCACAGAGCUUUAUUCACAGCAGUGGCUGGGGCUGGAUUGGGUGUAUGAACUGCAGUUUGUCCCCACAGCCUCCUCACUAUUGACGCCUGUACCUGAGCGUGCAUUUGCGACAAUGGGUGAACCUACACUGACACGUCAUCAUCACCAAGAGCCCAUACUUGACACUAGGAUUUACACUUGGUGGUGUGCACUCUGUGGGUUUGGACAGAUGUACAAUGACACGUUUCUACCAUCACAGCAUCAUACAGAGUAGUCUGUCUUAGUGACCCUAAAAAUGCUCCUUGCUGCACCUCAUUCAUUACUCCUUCCCCUCUAGCCUCUGACAGUAACUGAUCUUUUAGUCUCUGUGGUUUUGCCUUUCCCAGAACACCAUACAGUUGGAAUCAGACAGUUGCAGAAUCUUCCCAGAUUGGCUUCUUUCACUUAGUAAUAUGCAUUUAAGGUUCCUCCAUGUCUUUCCAUGCCUUGAUAACUCAUUUUAUUUUAACACCAUAAAUAGUCCAUUUUCUGCCUGGACCACAGUUUAUUUAUCCAUUCACCUACUGAAGAACAGCUUAGUGGUUUCUGAGUUCUGGUGAUUAUGAAUAAAGCUGCUAUUAACAUCUGUAUGCAGAUUUGUGUGUGGACGUAAUUUUCCAUUUUGUUCAGUAAACACCAAGGAGCACAGUUGCCAGAUGAUAUGGUAGGAGUACGUUUAGUUUUGUAAAAAAUUGCCAGACCGUCUUCCAAAGUAUCUGGGCCAUUUUUCAUUCCCACCAGCAAUGCAAGAAAAUUCCUGACGCUCCACAUCCUCACCAGCAUUUGGUGCUGUCAGUGUUCUGAGUUUUGGCAGUUCUGACUGGUGUGCAGUGAUAACUCACUGUUUCAGUCUGCAGCCCCUUGAUGACAGAUGCUGUGGAGCAUGUUUCCAUAGAUUUCUUUGGCAUCUAGUUUCCAUGUUGAGGUGUGUGUUGAGGCAUUUUGCUCAUUUUUUAAGCAGGUUAUUCAUUCUUCUUGUUGAGUUUAAAGAGAUUUUGGUGUAUUCUGGAUAUCAGCCCUUUAUCAAUGUGUCCCUGCCCUUCACCUGCAGCACCGGAGUUGUCCUUUGGGUCUCAGUGGAGUGUCAGCUCUUCAAAGAGGUUCCCUGUCUUCCCUCACCUAAAUACUGUCCUUGAACUUUUCACUUUCAUUGACUCACUUUGUUCUUUUUAAAUAGCAUUUCCCAUAAUUUGUAAGUACAUUAAAAAAAAAGGCAAUGAUUGAACACUGCCUCCCCCACCAGGCUGUGUGCCCUGUGAGAGCAGAGACCCUGUCCCCACUCACCAUGUCCCAUGACAGCACAUGUCACAUGUCCAUGUAAAUGUGUGUAACGUGGGGCCAAACCUGAUGAGCAGCUAUGACGACAUGUGUUGGCUACCAUUCAUUGAAUAGAGUUUGUUUCUUGAUCUUAAUUUUAAAUCACAUGAAUGAAACAUGUUUCUUUUGAAAAAUAAAACAACAAAGCACACCUCCAUGUGAUUGGUACUUUCUACUUAGCCUUCUGACCCAGGAGGGGACGUUCACCAUCAUUUUGUGGAGGAGGUUGGGGAGGUAAAUUAGGAGAGUGAGAUCAAAUAAAGUAAAAAUGAUAACAAUCAGCUGGCUUUAUUUUCACUAAGACAAAUUUUACUUUAAACCAUACCUCAGCUGUUGUUCUGUUGUUUUAAACACUUCUCAUAGAAUUAAAUGGAAGCCCACUAAACCCUGAAAGGGAAAUUAUGUGCUCAGGUCCUGAAAAGUGUUUAUGUCUAUUUCUUGAAAUGCACAUUUUCCCUGCUGGUUACAGAAUGUCAUGGCGGGAACACAGCCGUGAGCUGUGUGUGUCUGCCAGCUUCACGGGCUGCUCACUGUCAUUUUCAUUUUCUUGUGUUGCAGUGUAUGAAGGUUUUCCAUCAGACUGUUUGCUCAGCCCCUUCCUGAAUGAGGGAUUGAAUUUUCCACAGGAAAUCUUAUGGAAGAGAGUGACAAGGCACAUGGGUUUCCCAAAAAGCAAUAGUUGUUGUAAUAAACUCUCACAUUGGUGAACUUUUUGAAUACAAGCGAGUUGAAAAUUUUAUCACUAGGUCAUAUGCCACAAAUCUGUCUUAAGAAUAAAAAGAUUCAGAUUUUAUAGAAGAAGCAGUUUGAAUCAAGUAUAAAUUACAAUUUGUACACUAGUUGGUGUUAGAACAUGUACUCACUCUUACCAUAAUUGCCUGUGGUAGGAACUGGAUCAUUAUUUAUUUAUUUAAAAAAAAUCCUCAAGGUUCUACUUGCCUCAUUCUUGAUGCGGCAGUGCUGAGGUUAGUUAAGUUGGGACAUUUAGAAUUCUUGGCUAGGUUUUCAGGACAUUGAUUUCAGCCUCUUUAUCUUUUUUAGAAUCUCUUCUUUGUGUCGGUCUUUGGUCUUUUGACAAUGUGGAAAUACUGCACAGAUCAGUCUUUCCCUUUUUCCUGUCUUUAUGGGAAAAGAUUUCUGUAAGACACACUACUAGGACAUUAAGCAUUUUGUGUGGGGUAAGUUUGGUCGGCUCAAAGGAUUUCAAUUAAUACAUAUUAAUACUUGCUAUUCAGCUAAUGAUAAGAAAAUUAUAAAAUAACUUAAUUAUACAUCAAUAAAUAUAGUACAAUAAGCCCAUCACCCAGAUUAAGGAAUUCACAAACAUUUCCAUAUUUCCUUUAUUCAGACCUUUGUUCUUUUACUUGUCCUUUGUUGAAGUAUUUGACAGCAAAUUCAAGAAAACAUGUCAUUUUACCCUAUGUACUCAAGUAGGCAUGUCUGAAAAAUGAGGGCCAUUUCUUUGAUCAGGUUUUUCCAUUUGACUUAUGUGCUCGUUAAGUACCAGCUGUAUCAGGCAUCUCACUAGGCAUUAGGAAUCCUUGGGGCAAUGAGACAGUCCUGGCUCCCAAGGAAGUUAAGGGCUGAUGGAAGAAACCAACACAGGAGCUUAGGUGCCCCACCUAAGGUCCCUGCGGGAUGACACCAAUUGGAAAAAAUUUGUGCACAAUACAGUGGGAUUCACAGAAGGGACUGGUCAGACUAGUAGGGCAGGCCGUGAGAGAGGCGGUCAGCAGGGCUACAAGAGGAGGAAUCAUUUGAUCAGAAUCUGAAAUCUUUUCUGCCAACCUUCCUACCAAGCCCUAGGGCCCAUCACACACAACCCUGUGCUGUAACUGUUUUUGAUUCCUGUUACCACGUCUCCUUCAGGAAGGAUUUUAAGGUGGAAAAUAUUUAAAAUCAGUAAUUGUUGCCAGAAGGGACAUAGAACAAAGAACAUGGAAACAACACAAAUGUCCAUCAGCACAUGACUGGAUAAAGACAAGGUGAUACAUAUCUACAAUGGAAUACUACUCAGCCAUAACAGAUGCAAUUUGCAGCAACAUGGAUGGACCUGAAGACUGUCAUUCUAAGUGAAGUGGGGUGAAAAGAGAAAGAAAAAUGCCAUAAGACUUCAUUUAUGAGGAAUCUAAAAUUAAUAGCAAUAAUAAUAAGACCACAAAUGAACUAAUUGUUAUUUUGAUUUCUUGAAUAUGCUUAAGCACAUAUGACUGUCCUUUGUGAUUGGAUUACCAUAUUCUGUUUAUUAUUCUUUUGUAGUUGGCUUUAUUCCUCUGGUAACUAUGUAAGUUUAAAAAUCUGAAACUCUAAUCUGUUCUUAGAAACAAUAAUUAGUACAUAUAUGUAACUAAAAAAAUGCAGUAUACUCUAUACAUGUAUUUACAUGCAAUGUGUAUGUGGAGUUGAACUGUAAUAAUUAUACCUAAUAAUACUGAAAAAGGAAAAAAAUAAAAUAAUAUAUAAAAAAACUA